rnacentral:rRNA from 1 species
GAUGAACGCUAGCGGCAGGCCUAACACAUGCAAGUCGAGGGAGAGGUUACCUUCGGGUAACCAAAACCGGCGCACGGGUGCGUAACGCGUAUACAAUCUGCCUUUCACAUAGGGAUAGCCCGAAGAAAUUUGGAUUAAUACCUAAUGGUAUAUAAGAGCGGCAUCGUUUUAUUAUAAAACUUACGUGGGGAAAGAUGGAGUAUGCGUUCUAUUAGCUAGUUGGAGAGGAAACGGCUCCCCAAGGCGACGAUAGAUAGGGGUUCUGAGAGGGAUGUCCCCAACACUGGUACUGAGAUACGGACCAGACUCCUACGGGAGGCAGCAGUGAGGAAUAUUGGACAAUGGUCGGAAGACUGAUCCAGCCAUGCCGCGUGCAGGAUGAAGGUCCUAUGGAUUGUAAACUGCUUUUGUAAGGGAAGAAUAAGGAGUACGUGUACUUUGAUGACGGUACCUUACGAAUAAGCAUCGGCUAACUCCGUG